ACGACCUUACUUGAACAGGAUCUGUUCUGUAGGUCCAUACCUCUGCGUCCUUGAGACCUAAGAAGACGAGCCAUAGUCUGGUGGAUGAACCAUGACCGUGUGAUCAGAGCGUGAUUAACGGCUCUGAUGGGUCCUGCUUGGAUCCAUUAGAGCUGUAGUAGGAUCGUGUUCUCAGUCGGAGUUACGCGCCUGGGAUGGUUACACGGCUGUCUGACAGACU
rnacentral:snoRNA from 1 species